rnacentral:rRNA from 1 species
CCCUUAGAUGUUCUGGGCCGCACGCGCGCUACACUGAUGCAUUCAACGAGUUCCUACCUUGGCCGAGAGGCCUGGGCAAUCUUUUGAACUUGCAUCGUGAUAGGGAUAGAUUAUUGCAAUUAUUAAUCUUGAACGAGGAAUUCCUAGUAAACGCAGAUCAUCAAUCUGCAUUGAUUACGUCCCUGCCCUUUGUACACACCGCCCGUCGCACCUACCGAUUGAAUGGUCCGGUGAAGCCUCGGGAUUGUGGUUAGUUUCCUUCAUUGGAAGUUAGCCGAGAGAACUUGUCUAAACCUUAUCAUUUAGAGGAAGGUGAAGUCGUAACA